GUUAAUUUGGUCAAAAGUCUGUGGGAUUGGAGAAAUAAACUUUCUGAUGAAAUGAAAAACUUAAAUGAAAACUUUCCACUUGGGUUGAAUUUCUAGGCUGUCUUCAAAAACACUAAAACUUACUGAACUCAGAAAAGGCUUAGUUUCCAAAACCAAAAUUUAACUCUAUAGCUUCCAAAACUGUGUUCAGUUGUACUUCCCAAGUACAUUGCUCAGCAAAGCCAACACAUUAUGGAAUCAAUGAAGAACCGGAAGACAAGCAAGAAACUAAAUAAUGCCUCCCUCAGAUAUAAUGUCUUGGGAGCUCUGGGGACAGGCAGCUUUAGACCUUGGAAAUUUUAUAGGCCUGCUGAUCUGAGCUACUGAGGAGACUUUUGCAAAUAUACCUUCAGAUGACACACACGCAGAGUAAAUCCCUUCAGAACCUCACUGGCGUUUUUGAAAUAGUGUGAAAAGACACGUGUCAGCGGUACAAAGAAAUGAGGUGAAGUCAUUGCUCUUUGAGUCAGGUAAGCAAACACCUCUUCUUCCUCACAUCAGUUAAUGGGAUGUGUCUCGUGUUACUAAUAUCAAUGCACAUUUGUUAGCCUUCAGAACUCUCCUUAGAUAGAAGAUUUGGCAGUCAUAGCUAUUAGAUCUUCUAAAUGUGAACAAGAGUGGAUACCUUAUUAUUUAACUGUUGUCUAAUUGAUAAUUAGGUUAUGCAAACAUUCUUUAUCCAAAUAGAACAUAGAAAAGCGAGAGUGUUUCACAGGGUUUUUUACCUUACUUUUAAAUUUUUCUUAAUUUUAAUUAAUCAUAUAAUCGCUUCAUUGUAUUUAUCAACAAUAUCCAGAAAAACAAGAAUUUAUUUGUGCUGAGGAUUAAUUUAAGGAUGCUAUUUAAACAUCUUCACACUGUGGCCAGAAAACCAUUCUAGUAAACUCAUCUAAGGGCCUGCUGUUGCCAUAAGGGAAGUGUGUUGGUGUGGCUAAGGGUACCAUGUCAGGGCUCCAUGUGAGUAAAAAGCAGAGAUUUCCAAAAAAGACCGUGAUUCUUUUGCCAUUGUCACAUUUUUAUUGUUGGCUCUCACAAAGCAAAGCUGGCCCAGUACUGACGGCUUCUAAAAUCACAUCCUUAAUUCCAUCCUUCUUAAUUGUCAGCUUGUCUGCCUUCUUUGCAAAUGUUGGAAAAACACCCUGAAAUCUCUGUCCCUCAGCCCCAGUCUAAUAAAAAGAAACAAGCUUUUUUUGUUUGUGUGGUAUUUGUUUGGUUGGUUUUUUUUUUGG